rnacentral:rRNA from 1 species
CGUAGGUGAACCUGCGGAAGGAUCAUUAAUGAAAUCACAAGUCGGUCGACUGUGCUGGCAGAAAUGCAUGUGCACGUCAAUCGCAAAUCCACACACCUGUGCACCUAUGACUUUGAGAUUUGUCUGACUUGCAGUCAAUCGGCCUUUGGCCUACCCAGGUCUCAAAGUAUUUUUAUACACUCUGAAUGUAAUGGAAUGUUUCACAUGCGUAAAUGCGCAAAAAUACAACUUUCAACAACGGAUCUCUUGGCUCUCGCACCGAUGAAGAACGCAGCGAAAUGCGAUAAGUAAUGUGAAUUGCAGAAUUCAGUGAAUCAUCGAAUCUUUGAACGCACCUUGCACCCUUUGGUAUUCCGAGGGGUACACCCGUUUGAGUGUCAUUGUAAUAUCACUCCUAGACUUUUUGUCGUGGAUGUGGACUUGGACUCUGUCGUGCCACACCGACUGGUCUUAAACAGAUGAGUGCACCCUGCUGUUGCAGCGUCUUCAGUGUGAUAAGCAUCUUCACUGGAACAAGUUACCCCCAGAGGGACACGCUUGCAUUGUGGGCUCUGUGCUGACAAACCGUUUGCAUGAACAACCUUUGACAAUUUGACCUCAAAUCGGGUGGGACUACCCGCUGAACUUAAGCAUAUCAAUAAGCGGAGGAAAAGAAACUAACAAGGAUUCCCCUAGUAACGGCGAGUGAAAGAGGGAAAAGCUCAAAUUUUGAAUCUGGCUCCUUUGGUGCCCGAGUUGUAAUCUAGAGAAGUGUUUUCUGCCUCGGACCACACAUAAAUUCCCUGGAACGGGGUGUCAUAGAGGGUGAGAAUCCCGUUUGUGGUGUGGACUACCUUGGCUCUGUGAUACACUCUCAACGAGUCGAGUUGUUUGGGAAUGCAGCUCAAAAUGGGUGGUAAAUUCCAUCUAAAGCUAAAUAUUGGCGAGAGACCGAUAGCGAACAAGUACCGUGAGGGAAAGAUGAAAAGC